rnacentral:lncRNA from 1 species
CUUUGCAAUGAUAGAAUUUAAAUUUAACUGUACCUGCAGAGAACUUUUUCUUUUUCUUUUUUUUUUAAGCAAAUUACCAAAAUUAUAGGAAGACAGUGCCAUCUAUAGGUCUGCACAAGUAAAGAUUGAUCAUCUUGGAUUUCAGUUGUGAUUGCCUACAGUAAUAUACCAGUCAAUCAAAUGUACUACCCUACAAGGAAACUAAAAACAAAACAAAAAACCUGUUCAUUCUCAAAUCUCUGGAGGGGUUCUUGCAGUUUAUUCCUAUCUCUGUAAUAAUUUUUCAAAAUAAUGCUAACAACAAUAUCAGCCAAAGCAACAAGAAGAAACAAAAACAAUGGUUCUUACCAUUGUAUUAUUCUAGUUUGGCCUAUUUAGUGAUCCAUAAAUAGUAGCAGCUUUUCAAAAAUACUAGUACAUUUGUAUGUGCUUCCCCAUUGUGUAAACUCUUUUGGUAUCAUCCAGUUCUAUUCAGACAUAUGAAUUUUGUUGUUCUUUUUUCCAAAGAGAAAGAAGUUCUAUUUUCUUUUAGUAUUCCAUUCUACUUUUUAUAGCCAUUAAACUAAAUCCCACCUUUAUGUCCAACCUAAAUCAGCCAAACUCAUUUAAAGGAAAAUGUUCAAGAAAACCUGCAACUUAAAAUUCUCUUCUGGAAUGGAGUAGUGGCUGAGAGAUCCAGUUUUGAAAGCAAAGAACAGAAUUUGAGUUCCAUAUUCUGCUACUGACUUUGAACAGUUACUUCAUUUCUCUGAACUUUACUUUCCUUAUCUUCAAUAAAUUACAAAUUGCUGGGGUUGUGGCUCAGAGGUAGAGCACUGGCCUAGCAUGUGUGAGGUGCUUGGUUUGAUCCUCAACACCACAUAAAGAUAAAUAAAUAAAAUAAAGGUAUUGUGUCCAACUACAACUAAAAAAUAUUUUUAAAAAGAAAUUACAAAUUAAUACAGGUGAUUUAAGUUCAGCAAAGUGUUUUAAACAUAGCAAAUAGUCAAUAAAUGUCAAAAAUAUAAUUUAUCAGUUCUUAUUUAUCAUGCUGAGGAUGAUAAGUAAGUAGUAUCUAUCCACCUGAACAGACACUCAACAAAGUUCAUAUAUGACUUAAGAUGACAAUUAGAAUGAAUGAGAAAGACUUAAUUCAAAAUUGGGAUGGGAACAACUAUGCAACAAAAAGAAAAUGAUAUUUGAAAGUCUGAUAUUAGUUUCAAAAUAUACCUGUGAACAUCUAUGAAAAUCAUUAAAAUCCACCUGACUCUAAUUCCAUGUUACUGCUACUAUUUAUUUUAGAAAUGUGAGUCUGCAGGGCACAAAGAAAUUAGAGAUAGGGGCUGGGGUUGUGGCUCAGCGAUAGAGUGCCC